CAUGGCCAAAGAUAACGAGCUAACCAUGUUGCGAACUUUUACUCUAUCUCUUGUUGAACGAAAGGGUUCGAAAUUUGAAAGAUGGGCAAAAUUGUGGACGAGUCAUGCGCAUGCGUUGUAGUGGCGCUGAGCUGUUGCAUCCUGUCGAGAAAAGAGGAGUGAGCAAGCGAGGAGAGACUGAGUCAAACAACCACUUCCCGGAGGGUUGAAAAAGAAGAGGAACGGGGAGCAGGAAAAUCCUUCGGCCACAAAAUCAGAAUCUGUCAGUUGGCUUCGUUGCGACAGCAGAGCUACAUCUCUCUAUUCCGGAGCUGACGGCAAUUAACGACGCUACGUGUACUACACCGGAUAAGACGGCAAACCAUUUUUCAUUCUAAAAACCGGUCAUAUUCUUCUUUUGCCACAAAAUGAUGUCUCAAGUUCAAGCCAUGAAAAAACAAGUGACGCAAUUACGCCAGGAGGCCAGCGUGCAAAGAAUUCCAGUAUCUCAAGCUUGUGAAGAGUUAAUCAAGCACUGUCAAGAACACCAAAAGACAGACGUGCUCGUUACUGGCAUCUCCCCUUCUGAAAAUCCUUUCAAGGAGAACAAAACGUGCAACUUACUCUAACAUUGUUAAAGUACAUUGUUGUACGUGUUAAAUUUUUAAUGAUUUCGUUUUGUCGUUAAUAAUUUUGUUAAAUUUGUGUUUUAUACACUUGCAUUUUUGGUUCACGUGGAUGUAAAUAACUGAAUGUUCCUUGACUGCCCCAUUGUCGUUAGUUACAUCAUAUGCGUCUCAUCCUUUUAAACCUAAAACAACGUCGUUGUCGGUGAGGUUACUAACUAAAAGGUUUCCGUAGAAUCAAAUGUCUUUCCUUCCAAAAGGCCUCAACCAAGAUUUUACAUUGUGGUGAACAAUAUAGAAAAUCCAAGUAUGUGACAGUAUUACUUCCACUGGCUUCCCAGUUCGCUGCAUAACUGAGCGUUAGAACUGCCAGCCAUCAACAAGGUUUACUGUUUAAAACCACCAAGUCGAGUUCCUCAAAUCACAACUUCGUCACAAAUCCUAUAUUCUCUGCUAUUUUUGCAAAUCCUUUCCGAACGCCUUGCAUCCAUAUGUUACUUCUAUAUUCAACACUGCGUAUACAAAGAACAUGAGGCCACCAUCGAAUUGAAUAUUUGUGGUGCUUUACGUAACUAUCCAUCGUCUGACCAGAUUUUCAAAUACGACCUAUUGCGAAAAGGCUGCAUCUACUUUCAAUUUUUCGAAUUAAGAAUUGAAACAUAAU